UUUUCGCUCGCCGCGUACCGCCGAACAUUUUACGUUGCCGGACAUCUUUGAGACGGCGUGCUAUGCGUUUCGUCCGGGACAUCGCAUCGCAAUAUUUACUAAGGCCGCUCGGGGAGGUUUCGUUUCAAUCGCUACCGUAUUACGCUGCACUCAGAACGUCCGUACGGCGUUUAAAAUUUAACGUUUCGGCAACAUAUCCACGACGACACAUUAGUUUCGCGAGCGUC